ACUCGGCUCUACGCUGUUGUCAGAACUAGGCCAGAUUUACCGGACAGAUGCAUAGGUCCCUGAUUAUGUUCUUUGCUGCUCUGUCGUUAUGUUUUCUAUAGCUGCAGGUCGAGUUUCGGUAAUCACAUGGUUGGAGUAAAAGCCGUUUUUGUUGUUGUGAAAGUAAACGGAACUGCGGAUGCAGCUGCCGCUGAAUGCGAGCCGAAAGAAAAAGAGUUUAUGUCUCGUAGUUAGAUCACAAUCGA